rnacentral:lncRNA from 10 species
UUUCUAUAGGCCUGGAUGCUGGACUGGUGCUGGUUCACUUAGGACAUCAGAUAGAGGCUGCAGCAUGCAGUGAGCCAGCUCCAGGGUGGACCCACUGGCUGGCAUGAGAUGGCAGGGAGAGGAGGCCCAGGUACUAGCCUAGAUCAAAGCCAAACAUCACAAAAGCUGAGCUAGUGGAACCAUCUGUUGAUGAAUACUCCUCACCCUGGGCAAGUUUAAGAACAACUGGAUGAAGGCCAGGAGAGGCACCGAGGCCUGUGUGCCCUUUAAGUAAUGGAUUUUGACCUGGGCACAUGGCAGCCUGAAAUAAAGACUAUAUUUCUAAGUAUUCUUGCAGCUAGUUGUUCUGUUUAACUACAUUCUGGCCAGUGACUUAUAAAUGGAAAUGCUGUGAUCAGCUUCUAGGGAAGGCCCUUAAAUUGAGAAAGCAAUGGUGUUUGACCUGCUUCCUUUUCCUGCUGGUUGGAGAACAGAAGUGAUAGCUGGAGCUCAAGCAGCCAUCUUGGUCCAAGAGGCAGCAGAAUAAAGAUGGUAGAAGACUAAGAAGAAAGGAGGCAGGGCCUCUCUGAAGCUUCAUGAAGCCAUCAUACAGCCCUUACACUGCUGACCUGUGGAUUUCUUUUAAGAGAGGAAUGAACUAACCUUUACAAAAAUCCAUUUUGAGAGAAUUUCCUGUUAUUUACUGUUGAACUUAAAUCUCACUGGAGCCAUAUGACAUGUAGAGUAUAUAGCACAGUGCAAGUCAAAUUCCAUUAUUAUUUUCCUGCUUUUUAGAAAAUACAUAUCAAAGAUAUCAAAAAUACAGACAUAAAGCAGAAGGACCAAGAAGGCCAAAGAAGAGAUAUUGGCCACCCCUUCCUGGUUUCGGUACCACCCCCAGGGCCAUGUGAGUGGGAGAAGAAAUAUGGUCCUUGCCAGGCAGUGGCUACAGGCAGCAUGGGCAGGAUGGGACACUUUGCCUCCUGGCCUCACUUUAUUCCCUCUGCUAAGCCUCUGCUGCAAGGAGGAGUACGAUCUGGAGAAGUGAAAAAAAGGACAAAAAGAGCUCCCAAGAAACACAUAAACUUGGACACAGGUAGAACUGGGUUUGCCUUUUGGCUUUUCCACCUACUUGCUGUGUGACUUUGGGCUACUUACCAAACCUCUCUGAGCCGCAACCUCCUCAUGUUACAAUGAAACACGAGAUAAUACUGAUCCCUUAAUGUUGUUGCUAUACUUAAACAAGAAAAUGUCAGUCAAGGGCUGAACAGAGUGCCUGACACCUUAUAAGUACUUAAGAAAUGAAACCUGAACUUCAUCUUUUACUAUUUCCAACCCUCACCCAGGCUUGACUCUGAUCCCUGUGCUAAUUACCGCCAGCAUGGAUGGUUUUCUUUCCCAGAGCUGUGCCUUUUGCUCAGUAGGUUUCUAUCUAAAGAGCUCCAUCAAUCCUUUCGGUCUUUCCUUAUCUCCUGCAAACUUUGAGGGCAGCUUUAGGCCCUCUUUGACUGCAAGCCCUGGGUGAUCUCUCUCCCUCUCCUCUGAACAGCACCAGCAUUUGAUGUCCAACCACUCAUUAACAUUUACUGCCUUGUAUUGGUAUUUAAUGUUGAGGUGCAUGUGUUGACUUGCCAGCCGUACAGCAUACUCUGCAACGGUGUGGAUCAUGGCUUUUCCACCUUUACAUCUCCUCAGCCCUUAACUCAAUGCUAUGUUCAGAACUCAAUGAAUACUUGCUGAACAAGUAAACCAAAUCCAAUUAUUCAGAACCCCCCUAGCUAAUUUAUUUUUCAGAAUCCUUUUUGAACCUGUGUGUCUAUUGCCUUUUUAUGUUCCUCAGAGUUCAAAGCACCUUGAUGAUGUCGCCUUCCUGUAAUAUCAUGAGGUGCUCAGUUAACUUUGCACAGCAACAAACCUAGUUCAGCCAGCACAGAUUGCUUUGCUGGCCUUGGUCAGUCAUUGGGCACACAGGGAAAAGGUGAGGGAGGACCCAACUUAGAAGAAAUCCAUUCCUCCAACCAAGAAAACAAUUAACAAAAUAUUUUGAGUGGUAAGUCGAUAUCACUAUUUGAAAUUUGGGAGUACAUUUUAUUUGUCUUUUGAAAGAGGUGAGAGGUGAAGCCAGCUGGACUUUCUGGGUCAAGUGAGGACUUGGAGAACUUUUCUGUCUACCUAAAGGAUUGUAAAUGCACCAAUAAGCACUCUGUAAAAAUGCACCAAUCAGCGCUCUGUGUCUAGCUAAAGAAUUGUAAACGCACCAAUCAGCACUCUGUAAAAUGGACCAAUCAGCACCCUGUAAAGUGGACCAAUCAGCAGGAUGUGGGUGGGGACAAAUAAUGGAAUAAAAGCUGGCCCCCCCCAGCCAGCAGUGGCAACCUGCUUGGGUCCCCUUCUGAGAGGUGACAGUGUGCUGGCAGCCCUCGCUUACUCUCGGCUCCUCCUUGGCCUCGGUGCCCACUCUGGCCAUGCUUGAGGAGCCCUUCAGCCCUGCGCUGCACUAUUGGAGCUCCUCUCUGGGCUGGCCGAGGUCGGAGGCGGCUCCCUCUGUUUGCAGGGAGGUGUGGAGGGAGAGGCACGGGCGGGAACCGAGGCUGCGCGCGGCACUCAUGGGCGAGUUCCAGGUGGGCAUGGGCUCAGUGGCCCUGCACUCGGAGCGGCUGGCCGGUGCCACCGGCCCCAGGUGGUGAGGGGCUUAGCACCUGGGCCAGUAGCUGUGGAGGGUGCGCUGGGUUCCCCAGCAGUGCCGGCCCACUGGCGUUGUACUUGAAUUCUUGCUGGGCCUCAGCUGCCUCCUUGUGGGGCAGGGCUCGGGACCUGCAGCCUGCCAUACCCAAGCCUCCCCCCACCACUGUGGGCUCCUGCACGGCCCAAGCCUGCCCAACAAGCACCACCCCCUGCUCCGCAGCACCUGGUCGCAUCAACCGCCCAAGGGCUGAGGAGUGCGGGCGCAUGGCACAGGACUGGCAGGCUCCGCCUGCGGCCCUGGUGCAGGAUCCACUAGGUGAAGCCAGCUGGGCUCCUGAGUCUAGUGGGGACUUGGAGAACCUUUAUGUCUAGCAAAGGGCUUGUAGAUACACCAAUCAGCACUUUGUGUCUAGCUCAAGGUUUGUAAAUGCAGCAAUCAGCACUCUGUAUCUAGCCAAUCUGGUGGGGACUUGGAGAACCUUUAUGUGUAGCUAAGGGAUUGUAAAUACACCAAUCAGCACUCUGUGUCUAGCUCAAGAUUUGUAAAUGAACCAAUCAGCACUCUGUGUCUAGCUCAAGGUUUGUGAAUGCACCAAUCAGCACUCUGUAUCUGGCUAAUCUGGUGAGGACUUGGAGAACCUUUAUGUCUAGCUAAGGGAUUGUAAAUACACCAAUCAGUACUCUGUGUCUAACUCAAGGUUUGUAAACGCACCAAUCAGCUCUCUGUAAAACAGACCAAUCAGUUCUCUGUAAAAUGGACCAAUCAGCAGGAUGUGGGUGGGGCCAGAUAAGGGAAUAAAAGCAGGUUGCUCCAGCCAGCAGUGGCAACAGGCUCGGGUCCCCUUCCACACUGUGGAAGCUUUGUUCUUUCACUCUUUGUGAUAAAUCUUGCUGCUGCUCACUCUUUGCAUCUGCACUGCCUUUAUGAGCUGUAACACUCACUGUGAAGGUCUGCAGCUUCACUCCUGAAGCCAGAAAGACCACAAACCCACCAGAAGGAAGAAACUCCAAACAUGUCGGAACAUCAGAAGGAACAAACUUCGGACACGUCACCUUUAAGAACUGUAACACUCACCGUGAGAUUCCAUGGCUUCAUUCUUGAAGUCAGUGAGACCAAGAACCCACCAAUUCCGGACACACUUCCAUGGUGUGGAAGUUUUGUUCUUUCACUGUUCAUAAUUAAAUCUUGCUGCUGCUCAGUCUUUGGGUCCACGCUACCUGUAUGAGCUGUAAAACUCACCGCGAGGCUUUGCAACUUCAUUCCUGAAGUCAGCGAGACCAUGAACCCACCAGGGAGGAACAAACAACUCCGGAUGCACCACCUUUAAGAGCUGUAACACUCACCAUGAGGUCCUUGGCUUCAUUCCUGAAGUCAGCGAGACCAAGAACCCACCAGAAGGAACCAACUCUGGACACAGAGGAGCAUUGUAAUGGUGACCUAACACUAUCAUUUUGCGGAUGAGAAUGCGUUUAAUUUGUCUUUUUAAACAGCUAUGUUGGACUUAUUUUAUAUGCAUGUGCUUAAUUUGCAUGCUGCCCCCCAGGCGAUGCAAUACCUCGAAGAAAUGAACAGAACAGCAGUAAGCACUGAUCUGGUAAACUCUACAGGGUGCUUCCUUAGGAAAGGAAGUACUGCCUUCCUCCAAGCAGGCUACGAAGGUCUAGAACUGUGAAGUCACCCUAGCUAUAUAGUGGGUUGAGAAAUACUACAAAAGGAAAUUCUAGCACUUUCAUUAUUGCUUUUCAGUAGGUAAAUUAAGAUUCACUUGGGAAUGCUUAUAAAAAACAUGCAUCUCCUGGUUUCUAAUCUCACCCCAUCCUCUGUGAUUUGGUGAGUCUGACCAAAGCCACCAGCUAUUUUGAUGCAGGAGGUGGUGCACUGACUAUUCUUUGAGAAACACUGCUUUGGAAGAAGGAGAUGUGCCAUGCCAUUCUCAGAGUAGCCAUCAUCCCUUUCCCUCUUACAAUCUUUUACUUUAGAUGUGGCAACAGUAAAGUCAUAAUGAAUUCAUGAUCUGUGUUCCGGGGUAGACAGAGCAAUAACUUCAGUGUCAUUUUGGAGUAGAGAUCCUCUGAUCCUGGAGAAGUGGGUGGCUGGUUCUGCUAAGAGAGCUUGCAUUAAAGGAUUCCUCGGCCCUGCCCCACAUCUAAUGAAUCAGAAUCUCUGCGAGAGAGGCUGGGUUCCACAAUUUAUACCAGUUUGCAAGGUGAUCUCUUGCAGACUAAAGUUUGAGAACCAUUGAGACUACACAGUGUGACUUGGGAGAGGAAUGAGACAGAGAGAAGUACUAGCUGCAUCAGGUGGUCAAAAGACAGAUAUGGAAUGCCAUCACUUUCCACAUUAGGUUCUUAUGAAGCAAACAUAUCUGCAAUGCUUGAACUACUGUACAAGGAGAUGUAAACAAGGGUGUCACCGUUUAUAAAAGCCAAAAUUUGUAAGAUAAUGUAAAUGUAACAUCAUGAAAAUGGUUGACUAAAUAAUGGUCCAUCCAUGCUAUGGAUUACCGCGCAUCAGUUUUUAAAAGUGAAGUUGACUGAUACCUACUGAUAGGGAAUGAGUUACAAAACAUAUUGUUAAGUAAAAGAAGACUAUGUGUCAUUGUCACUUCACUAAAAAUAGAAGCAAAACUACACCUUUGUUUAGUUUUCACAUACAUAUGUAUAUAAACAUAUAGAAAAUAAUCUGGAAGGGUAUACCCUAAACUGUUAAUAGUGGUUAUAUCUGGAGGGGAAAGUAUGAUGGUAGGAUGGGGUAUUAUGAUGGUAGGAUGGGGUGUAAGGCAAGACAGAAUUUUUCUUUUUACUAUAUAUGUUUGUGUUGUUGAGUAUUUGUAAUAAGAACAUAUUCGUCUAUUUUUAUUUUAAUUUUUUGUAAUUUUAAAAAAAUUCAUUAAUAUACUGAUUUUCCUCAAAUUUCUGCCAUAGACAUCUAUUUGUCUCAGGUUUAAGAUUAUCAGCAUGAAUUCAAAGAAAAGAACAUGCAGUUUUUGACAUUCAAAAGACAUUUAGUGGUCAAGACAGUAAUCUUGAAGACCAGUCU